rnacentral:rRNA from 1 species
GCAGCCGCCGCGGGAAUACCGAGGGUGCGAGCGUUAAUCGGAUUUACUGGGCGUAAAGCGUGCGUAGGCGGCUUUUUAAGUCGGAUGUGAAAUCCCUGAGCUUAACUUAGGAAUUGCAUUCGAUACUGGGAAGCUAGAGUAUGGGAGAGGAUGGUAGAAUUCCAGGUGUAGCGGUGAAAUGCGUAGAGAUCUGGAGGAAUACCGAUGGCGAAGGCAGCCAUCUGGCCUAAUACUGACGCUGAGGUACGAAAGCAUGGGGAGCAAACAGGAUUAGAUACCCCGGUAGUCCCUGUCUCUUAUAC